GCCCCGCUUCGCUGCCCCGCGCUGCGAUUGGCUCCCCUGAUCUAUCCCGCCUUUCCGCCGAACCCUGGAUUGUGAUUGCGCCGCCCCGCCCUGCCGCGAUCCCGCCCCGCCCCGCCCGCUAUUGGGCCAGCCGUUGGGGUGGCAACGCCGCUGCCCCACCGCCCCCGGGUGGGCCUGGGGCCUGGGGCCCGGCGACCUCGGCCUGGGCCCGGGCGGCCCGCGGGGCGCGGCGCGGCGCCCGCCGCCGACCCCUGCCGGAGACACCACUCGCUCUAGCCAAGCGAGUCGUGCCGGUGCGGGCCGCGGCGCGCCUCUGGGCCCCCCAGCGAAACGCGGCCUCGGCGGCCGCCGGAACGCUUGGGGAGCCGCGGGGAGCCGGGCGGGCCGCGGGGGAGCCCGGGCGGCCGCCAGCCGGUCCCGGGCGCGGGGUGCUUUGUUUUCGCGCCUUAGCAAGUGACCCCGGCCCCGCGCUCCUCCGACGGCUGCCUGCCCUGCGCCUUCUCGCCGCUCGCACCGGGGGCUUUCGGCCCGAGCGGAGCCGGGAGCGGCGUUUCUCCUAUUCCCUGCUCUGGUGGGAGAGAGCUAAUGCAGCCAAAAGUAACAAAACCUGCUCUUGGUCAUGAGAUUUGCCCAAAGGUACCUCUUGGAAGUUAAGCGUGCUUGCAAAGCGUUUUAUGUUAUAGAUAUUCCUUCCCGCUGCUGCGUAUUAGUUAUUAACUGUGGAGACCUGUCGGCAUUUUCAAAUGCAGAAGGAUAGCAAAAAUGGAGACCUGGAAAGUUUCUGGUAGAAAUUGCCAUUUGCCAUUUUAUCUGGGUGAAGGAAAAUACAUUUUCGUUUCUAUGUUCCUGUUUCUAUCCCCUUUCUGAAAAAUGACCUUCAAAACAGGGAAGGGGACAGGAAACGUAACAGCAUCUUUCAUUUACACGACGCUCUUGUUUGUUCCUGUAAGCCUCAAAAUGCCGUACUUUGUACGCAGCACUUCGCCUUUACAGCGUGUCACCACAAGAUAAGAAAAUGAAACUGAAGUUUCUGUCUCUGGCCGACCGAAGCUGGGGCUGCAAGACUUUUUCUCGGUGUAAAUAUUAGCCAGCUAUUUGAAGACGCACUGUCCAUGAAGAAUAUUAAUUAUUCGCCAGGAAUCAACCCACUGUGUAAACCCAGUUUAUUUGGUAAAACAGUACAUAUUGUUCUGCUCCUAGGGGAGAAACAUGGGGGUGGGGAAACCCAGCUCCUCCCAAAACUACUGUAUUUGUGAGUUAGAAUGCUCGUUUGUACUAAUUACAGGAGCAAAACCAAUAAUACAAGCAAAACUGCCUUGAUGAGGAUGUCAUGGGGUACAAGGCCGCCCUCAAAACCAAGUUUGCUGUUUACUCAUCAGCAAAGGACCGAGCCUGGUGUGAGGCAAAGCAGUUUGCUGCCCUCCAGAACACACCCAGCUCCCUGAGACCAAGCACACACUACGUGCCUGAGCAGAUCCAGUAUUUUAGUGUAUUACGAGUUUGUCUUUACUGGUCUUCGUAUGAAGCAAGAAGUACCCCAGCAAGGUCUGCAGGCUGUUAGCGAGAAGUUGCCUGUGGGACCCCCAUGCUGAUGAGUUGUGGGAAUGCUCCACACUCCAAGCAGUUCUUGAAACAGCUCAUUAAGAGUGGCACAGAAAUGCCUGUUGAAUCUGUCCUUGGGCUCUCUAAUGAAAAGUUCUUCAUUCCAACAGGAAUUAUGUGGUACCAGCAAUAUGUGCAGAGUAUGGAUUUAUCUAUGCUUGCAAUAGCACGCUUCACGCGUGUGUUCUUGAAACCGCCUCCUAUCAAAAGCAUAGCUUUGCUGAAAUCAUUAGUCAGAAAUGUUUCUGGUACAACUGUGCCCCACCUCUUCUUAAUCCCAGUUGACAUAGCUGUCAGUUAAAGUUGGUUGGGUUUUUUUACAGAUGCAGCUAGGCGUUCUGCUGGUAUAAAACCCACUGAAAAGCCUCUAGACUAGACCUACAUGUAGCACACUUGGCUUGAGAAUCACCAGCAACUGGUAAUUAGAGAAGUUUUGUGGGAUAGUUGUGAAAUCAUAGUGCUACAUGGUAAGAAGUCUCUCAUGAAUUUGUUACAUUCCAAAACAUCUGUAGUUGUACUUGAAAAUGCUUGCAUUUGUGUUUAUGCUUGAGCUGAAUUUGCUUGGGAAGUUUAAUAAGAUUUUUUUAAAACUGUUUUAUAGCUAGGCAAGGAUAGAAAAAAAGGAUCUCUGGGCACCCAGAAAUGUUCUUGCUGCUUUUCAUUCUUGAAAAGGAAAAAAAAAUUAAUGGAAAAGGCUUCCUUCUUGACAUGUUUGGAAAAGAAAAAUGCAGGCGCUAAAGAAACAAGCACAGUGUCGAUUUUUAAAUAUUGGUUUAAUGAGAUGUAAAUUACCUCUCUGUACAUGAGCUGAAGGCCUUUGUUCUACAGCCCAGAUUCACUUAAGGAAGCAGACAGUGUUUCUCUGUGGUUCCUCCCAAAGGGCGAAAAGCUUUACGCUCUCGUCAAGCCUCCAGAGCAGCUCUGCUGUCAUCAGCCUUGCACUCUUCAGUAGCUGAUUUGUAGAACAGCCUUGACUAGAAGGUUUGCCAAUGUAGCUACAGUAGAAGAGCUGGUAAACCCUCCUAGAGAGGGGAUCCAAUUUAAAUUGCUUUAAUAACUGUGUAUUGCUUAUAUCAGAACUGCAAAGGAUAUUUGCUGUUGAAACUACAUCUGCAGGCUUUUGCCAGCAGAGCUGUAUUGAUUGGCGAAUGUUGUUAUAGUCCUGGUACUGCUAAAUCAGCAAAACUUUUAAAUAUAAACCAGGCCUCCAUCACCUGCCAGUCAGAUUACUCCUUGUCUAGGUUACACAGGUCUCGUACCUUUCCUCACUUCUGUUCGCAUUUAGAGUUGUAUGUGACCUCUGACCAAGUAACCGUAAGCUUUUAUAACUGGAUUAUCUCCCGUUUAUAGCUAAGCAUCUAGGUUACUCCGAAUGUGGAGAGCCUAGUUUUGUUCGUAAGAUCGAAAUGUAGGAGACACCAGAAUUACAGACUCGGGAAGGCAUAAAAAAUUGCAGCUUGCUCUUCCAGUGUCUGGUGGUGAGCAAGGCUGAACUGGAGAUGGGUGAUGAAGGAACCAUCUACUAACAUUUCUUUACUUAGGAAAUUCUGAAUAUUGUAACUUUUCUAAUACGGUUUGGGUUUCACAGCCUCAGAAAUUCUUAAGACAAACCGAAUAUAUUUAGCAAAAAAGAAUUUGCUAGGUUGAUAAUUAGGAAAAAUUCAAAUACUGACAUACCAAAAAAUACAUUUAGUAUGUCUAGACAAAUGUACUAACCUAUAUUGCCCUUCAAAGCUUUGCAAGAUAGUCCUGGCAGCUUGUAAUUUCCAUAAUGUUUUCAUUGCGAUGAGUUCAUCUUUACAAGAAGGCAGACAGACUGCAAACAGCAACGAGCCAGGAUCAAAGACUAACGAUACAUCGGGAAGAAACUGUUGAAUCAACAUAUUCCUGCCUUUGUCAAUCUACACCGAGUACCAUGGCAUAAAAACCAGAUCUCUGAAAUAUUUUGGACAAUAUUAUCAAACCUGGUACUUGGUGUGUACAUCUAACACCCAACGAUGUGACAGUAGCCUUUUGGGAGCGACAUCUUUAUUUACACUGACUCUAACUAGCUGGGCUACUGGUAAAAGCCUGACUACAGCAGCUUGUGUUCCUGGUACUGAAGACUUGCCGAGUUCCCACAAAGGCUUGCGUAACCUCUCGAAAGCCCGUGUCGUCACAGCUAGAUUGUUACCAGUACCCGAGUUGACAUGCCACCACCUCUGAAAUGACAUCUUGGCGGGUCUUGGGAGGUUGAAGGACUAAAAACCCAGAUGUAUUUUACUCUGGCACUUCUGUGUCAUCUUCAGCUGCCCAGGCAGAUAUGUUUUACUGUUCUGUGCUACCUGUGACUGGGCGACACUUUGCUGGGCAAGGUUCUGGGUUGCUACAGAAACUGUCUCUGCAGAUCCAUUCAAUCAAGCAAGGCUCUAGUGACAAGACUUGUGCUUUCAGCAGGAACAUAAAUAAUUCACAUUUUUGCUGAGCUGCUCUCUGUGCCUUCCCUACGAGCAGACUGGCGGUUCAAAGAAAAGCAGCUGUGAUUAGCUGGAACUCAUACGUUGAGAGUUAAAGCCGUGUUUACUGACAUAUAUUACAUUUUCAACAUGUUUUGCUUCAGAGCCUAAUUUUUUUUUGGAGAGGGGCAACACCAGCAAGCCUGUCAACCAUUUUUCAGAAAGAUAACGGGCGAGACUCUUCUUUUAACUAAACCCGCUCCUAUCACAUCGCAUCACACUCCACCAGUUGUCCCUUGCUGCAGUACAGCCGCCAAGGAGGCAGCUGGUUUUGUGACUGAUAAAGCAUGCGGUCACAUAAGACCGUGGAGUUAACCUGGAAAAGAUCCCCCGAUGUUUCAGAUUUGCCUGGCUGUCCCAUCCGUGGGUAGCAGCAGCCGUUGGCACAGAUAUCACUGCGUAACUACAGUGGUGAAGGACUCACAACAUUUAGGCUCUGUUUAUGCGUGGUGCUGGAACUGCUCACUAAAACUUGACGUUAAGCUGUAUGACUAUUAAAAUGCCUCUUCUAUACACAAAUUCAAGAGGAUUCCCUCUGUAGGGGUCGUAAACCCUUCUCACUCUGACUUUUCCUGUCUAUGCAAACAAUCAGUCCAGUAUUUCAUCCGUCCCUCUCUCAACCGUGCUUCUGCUGUUCAGCUCUGGGAGUUCAACUCUUCCUUCUGCAACACCACCACCCACUUUUACAACUAUUUUCAAUGAAUAUGGGAUGGAUGUCAGUGAGUGUGGGAUAAAUGUCAGUGAGUAUGGGAGAGGUACGAUCGCCCGCAGCAGUGUUUGGGCGAGCCAAGUUCUCGUCCACCUUUAGCAAGUCAAUCACCCAAGAACCUUGUGAGUAAACUCUAUGUAGUGAAACAGUAUUUAGGUCGUAUUUGUGAUUAGCGUGACUGCAGCUGUCCUGGCCUCUGCUCAAGCCAUGGCCUGACCUUUUUGAUAUGUUACAGUGUGGUCUAAUAAGAAGCACAUCUUAUGGUAUGUGAUCCAUAAAAAAAGUCCUUUUGCACUCAUGCCAUUUGUCCUUGGUGGUCAGCUACAUCUGCUGGAGGUUGUGGGUGCCAGGUCAUUGUGCUGGGAGCUGCCACCCCCCCCGAAGUUACAGACCCUCCUGCCCCUCUGUCCCCAUCACAGCUGCAUCUGGCUGCAGGAUAUUCUGUAUUUUCAUGCUUCUGUGUGUUGCAUCAGCUUACUAAAUGUUUUGAAGUUGGUGUGGGAGAAUGUAUCUGCUUUUCCUAGAUCUCUUUUUAGAAACGUUUCCAGCCUGCCAACUCUGUGGAGUAUACUAUAGAGAGACUGAAAAGCUCUAGACUUCUGGCUGGGGUCUCUCCUCUGAACAGCAAAGGCACAUGGAUCCAUAUCAGGGUAAAGAGCUAUUCCAGCCGUAUCCAUGCAGCUGCCAUUUCUGCCACAGAAACCAGUGGCAUGGCGUGACGGGUGAUGGAAGGCGUGUUGUGAUCCAUUUUACUUCCCAGAUCCUUUUGGGAAAACCAACUGCUUACCAGGUCCUCCUUAUCCUGUGCCUGUGUCCCUGAUCAUUCAUGCCUUAGUGUACAACUUUGCUCUGGUCCCCACAGAGUUUCAGUCUUUUAAACAUCAUUCCAGUUGUAAAGUUUGUUUUGAACUUGAAUCCCAUCCUCUAUUAUAUUGCAGCCUUUACAGAUUUGCACUAUCAGCAAAUUUCAUACAUGUAUUUUCUAUUCUAUCAUUCAUAUUGUUAGUGAAGACAUUGAACGUAUUAGGACAGACCCCAGUAGCCACCACUCUGUGCUGACAACAUAUGAAACCUGACUUCUACUGACCCUGUAGGAGUUCCAGCUAGUUUGUUUACAAGAAUGCAAAACAAGACAAAAAUUUAACUGAAGUCCUGAUCUCUGCGGCUUCAUCUCUACUGUUUCACUGAAAUCUGGUACCUACUGCUUUUUGCUUAUUUAUGAGUCUUGUUAGCUUAUCAUAGAAAGAAAUUUGAUUGCAAUUUCUUCCUGAUGUAAUUUCUACCUGAUGAACCCAUGGUAGCUGCUACUCCUCUCCUUGUUAUUUUCCAAAUGCCUACAAAUGACUUUUUAUCUGCUCCAAAUUGAAGGAACUGAAGACAGCUGGUCUUUAAUUUGUUAGUUCCAAAGACCAAACCCAUCAGAUCCUGCAUCUCAUUGAUGGUAUUAAAGUCGCACACCUUACAUUAACCCACUAGAAAUGCUGGAAGUGAUUUACAUAAUGAACUCCGAGCCUGCACAACUGCAUGCCUACAGUGAGCGAGGAUCUGACUAGCAGAGAGCAUCUGAUCUUCACACUAACGCUCUAAAAAUCAAUUGGGAAAAAAGGCAACGUGAACACCAAGCUCUGAAAAGGAAGAGCUGUUCUGCAGCGUGGUUAUGGAAGCAGGGCUGAGAGGGACACCUGCAGGGGCAUCGCUCUGUUCUGCCUGACGAGCAUAUGCAGAAGAACAUGAUUAUACAUGUUUUACGCUGCUCUUGAGGACUUGAAGCUGGAAUGCCCUGCCUGCAUCCACCUCCAGAGGAUCCCCAAAGCUACGGAGUUGCAUACAUACGCCGCCAUCCACAGUUCUUGGAAAAAACAUCCUAUUUUGGUUGUAGCAGGGUCAUUCUUUCAAUAUAUGAAGAAGAGAGCUAUCCUGGCUGUGCUGCAAAAAACACUUCUGAGGAGGUGGAAAAUGCCUGGGGGGUGAGUGGGAUGGGACAUGUGAAGCCAUGGCCCCCUGCAGACCCUGCCUGAGGGCACCUGCACAAGGGCCAGGUGAACCAGCACAUCCUUCAUCAGUGGUCUGAGUAGAUCCCGCUCAUCACAUCAGUGCUACAGUGGCACACUGCUGUAGGGAACACAGAGGGAACAGGGAGCAUGGCCUUGAAAGAGCGGCCUUGCAGCAGAUCUGUGCCUGACAGCUGGCUCUCCAAGGCUGCAAGACAAAAUGAUAAAAGCACAACGACUUCUUCACAUGCUGGUGCUGCCUAAAGCCUCGCCUUUCCAGCUGAGGCCCGGUAAUGCCUAACUGAAGUGUAAACUCUUUAAGGACUCCGUAGACACUACAGUAAAACAAUUCACUGGCUGACCUAAGUGGGAUUGUUUAAAGAAGCACUCACAAUGUUCUUCUUCAAGACCAUCAUAAAAGUCCUGGGCUGAUUCCCAAGUUCUUUUACCAUCCAUUUGCCUGAGUUUCUAGCAGGGAUAAAACUACUACAGUUUAUCUGCACACUGUAGGAACAUGCAACUGCCUAAUAUCCCUGUCUGCAGCGCUGUGUUCACCCAAAAAGUAUUUACAGUAAAUAUUGUAAAUCAUAAACAAUCCAUAACGAAUUAGCAAACUUUACAUUGGGAGCAGCUGGUAUAUUGGGAUAUACCAUGAGAAUCACUGCUUGGAGAUGUGCCAAGUGAGACAAGGACUGGGACAGGUUCCUAACCUGGUCAUGAUCAGUUCUUGGUUUAAGGUGGGUUUAUAUGAGGCAGGACCGUGUUUGGGUGGCUUGGCAUAAUUUUAAAUAUAUUUAGACAAAGGGUGAAAGUGUAUUUCUGCGUCUAAUUAACUGCUUCAGUGCUGUGGAAAGGGGCCAGAUUCAGCCCCAUAAUAAAACCGACCCUCGAUUACUUGAUUAUAUAUAUAUAUAUACACACACACUCACAUAUGCGCAAUAUUUUAUAUGAUUUAGUCUGCAAUUUCAGUUAAGUCAAUAAAUUAGCCGAUUCAGAUUAUCCAGUUAAAAUGGCAGGUCACCAGUAUAUAUAUACAUACUGAUGAGCUGGUGAACUGCAGCAGAACUCAGCACUGAGCAGGCACAUUAGUAGGUUGCUUAAAUAGAAUCUUUUUAGAUUCUCUCUAUCUGCUUUUUCUGUCUGGUAGCAGAAGUUCUGCCUUUUACCCUUUUCCCCACUCGCAGCUUCUGUCACAGGAAUAAGGAAGUACGCAGGUACCUAUUUGUUUCGCCCAUACUAUGUGAAACACUGCAGGAAUUCUGCACUAGCACAUAAAUAAGUAGAGGGGCAGCAAAUAUGCUUUGUUCAAGCUCUGCAUCUGCUAUAAAGGGCCUCACAAGCACUGAAAAGGGGAAAAAUCAGACUGAUACAGCCCAAGAAGUUAGCUCUGCUGAGGUGCUUUAUGAGCCCUUCUCCUUUGCCUUGCCCUUAUGUUGCUCUUCACCUCUGUACUCAGCUUGUGUAAAUGUGAACGAUCAGGAGAGCAACUUGAUGCUUCCAGGCCAAAGUUUAGCAACGGAUUUAAAUUCACAUCACAAUGUUUUGCAAUUUACUCUCGCCUUGUAAGUGUGCAAAUUGAUACACUAAGCAUAGGGCAAUGGAAUGCCGUUUUCAGCAAUUAACUAAGGAACUCACAUUAUAAUCCUGCAAGACAGCUAAAUGCAGGUAGGUGUAAUUAAUUUUGAAGGUAAUAAACAUAUAUAAUGAUAUUAGCACUCUGGUGGAGUCAUCAGAUCUUUGAGGUGGACCUAUCUCCAGUUUUCCCUUGAAACAAAUGUCCCCGACCACAAAGCUCUCAACUCUAGAAGUCAGAUUUUAUCAGAACAUAAAGGAAUACUUUUUUUAAAAAAUAGAGAACACUUCAAGUGAGGCAGAACAGAAACAGAAAUUUUCUAAAUUAACUCCUUGUAGGGCAGGUUCUCUCUCCUGUAGGGUUCUCUCUUUCAAAGGCUUCUCUUUGUCCCAUCCUACUCUUAAGAUGGUUCACCCAACUCAUCGUGCUUAACUGCACCAAAGCAAAGCAUCUCGCCCCUUUCUGCAACUGUGGCUGCAGCAUCCAAGCCAAGACAGAGGCAGCCUUCCUCCCUGGUGCCAAACAACACCACGUGUGUUUUAUUAUAUAUAUCGUGUUCCAGGGAACACGACACAUAGUAAAAAUGAGCAGAUCAGGUACUACCCCUGCAGGCUGCAAAAGGAGGCCCAGUGUCUGUGGCUGGUUUGCCCUGCACCAGUCAGUUAGAUGCUCUUCGUAAUUGCCUACUUUGUCCUGCUUCAAACCGGCUGUGUAUGCACGUAGGUGUUCAUUAUGGGUGAAUAUAUUUGGCAAUUGUGCAUCUUGUGUUGACUUAUGCGGGUGAAUGAAGGCACACUACCAAAUCCACAGCACAUGAGCAUAUUUAUCAUUUAUAAACAGCUCCGCUCUCAGUAUUGCCAGAUAGACAACUAUCACUGCCUUUGUUAUCAGGGAUGUUACACCCUGUGUAGUGCCAGGGAUGCAGGUAGUCGCUCUGGAGACAGAUGAUUUCACACCAGGGCUUC